AUUGUCGUUCUUGGUGGCCGAGGGCAACAAUCUGGGUAAUCUUCUUCACCUUAUUGAUAUAAGGUCGCCAAGGAUGUAAGAUCCCCUUUGUUUCCAUAACAUCCCCAACUCAUGGAUGACCCCAAAGGCAAACCAGCUAUCAGUGUGAAUGUUGAUAAUUCAUCUCCUGUGCCCCAGAUGAUUACAAUUCCAACAUUGACCUUUAGGCCACUGUUCUGAUGGUAGAGCCCUAGAAGGGGAAAAAUGUCUGGGACCAAGGUGUUAUUUUGGGUCUCUGGACUUGGAGGUGCUGUAGCUGUAAAGGCAACAAUGGCAGAUUGGUGUUCAGUCUUACUUGAACUUCCUUUCAAAAGGCUCAGCAGUAGCCAUGUGUUCAAUCGGGUUGGUGGCCUCCUACCCUAUUCUUUGCCUUUUUAUUAGCCCACGGAUCUCUGGGGACAAUGCAUUUACAAACAGAGCAGCCACAGCAAGCUGGGUGACCUCAUUUAUCGUCUGGAAUCCAGAAGGCUGAAGGAAGAGCCUCCAGCCACCUCCAGAUGCCACAGCCUUUCAAUAAUGAGCCUUUCAAUAAGACUAUUUUAGAAUCUUGAAGCCCUUUGGAAGAAGCUUCUGCACACCAAUCAAAACGGGCAU